CACGGGUGAGUAACGCGUAGAUAACCUGUCUUCACGUCUGGAAUAAUACGCCGAAAGGGGUACUAAUACCGGAUAUUCUUGCUUUUCAUAAGUUAUGCAAGCAAAGGUGGCCUCUGCAUAUGCUACUGCAUGAAGAGGGGUCUGCGUACCAUUAGCUAGUAGGUGGGGUAAUGGCCUACCUAGGCGACGAUGGUUAGCGGGUCUGAGAGGAUGAUCCGCCACACUGGCACUGGAACACGGGCCAGACUCCUACGGGAGGCAGCAGUGAGGAAUAUUGCGCAAUGGGGGAAACCCUGACGCAGCGACGCCGCGUGAGUGAAGGAAGGCCUUCGGGUCGUAAAGCUCUGUCAAGAGGAAAGAAGUGUACAAUGGCUAAUACCUGUUGUAUUUGACGGUACCUCUAAAGGAAGCACCGGCUAACUCCGUGCCAGCAGCCGC
rnacentral:rRNA from 1 species